rnacentral:rRNA from 1 species
GAUGAACGCUGGCGGCGUGCCUAAUACAUGCAAGUCGAGCGAACGGACGAGAAGCUUGCUUCUCUGAUGUUAGCGGCGGACGGGUGAGUAACACGUGGAUAACCUACCUAUCAGACUGGGAUAACUUCGGGACACCGGAGCUAAUACCGGAUAAUAUCUUGAACCGCAUGGUUCAAAAGUGAAAGACGGUCUUGCUGUCACUUAUCGAUGGAUCCGCGCUGCAUUAGCUAGUUGGUAAGGUAACGGCUUACCAAGGCAACGAUGCAUAGCCGACCUGAGAGGGUGAUCGGCCACACGGGAACUGAGACACGGUCCAGACGCCUACGGGAGGCAGCAGUAGGGAAUCUUACGCAAUGGGCGAAAGCCUGACGGAGCAACGCCGCGUGAGUGAUGAAGGUCUUCGGAUCGUAAAACUCUGUUAUUAGGGAAGAACAGAUGUGUAAGUAACUGUGCACAUCUUGACGGUACCUAAUCAGAAAGCCACGGCUAACUACGUG